AGUGAACGCUGGCGGUAGGCCUAACACAUGCAAGUCGAACGGCAGCACAGGAGAGCUUGCUCUCUGGGUGGCGAGUGGCGGACGGGUGAGGAAUUCAUCGGAAUCUACUCUGUCGUGGGGGAUAACGUAGGGAAACUUACGCUAAUACCGCGUACGACCUACGGGUGAAAGCAGGGGACCUUCGGGCCUUGCGCGAUUGAAUGAGCCGAUGUCGGAUUAGCUAGUUGGCGGGGUAAAGGCCCACCAAGGCGGCGAUCCGUAGCUGGUCUGGGAGGAUGAUCAGCCACACUGGAACUGAGACACGGUCCAGACUCCUACGGGAGGCAGCAGUGGGGAAUAUUGGACAAUGGGCGCAGGCCUGAUCCAGCCAUACCGCGUGGGUGAAGAAGGCCUUCGGGUUGUAAAGCCCUUUUGUUGGGAAAGAAAUCCAGCUGGCUAAUACCCGGUUGGGAUGACGGUACCCAAAGAAUAAGCACCGGCUAACUUCGUGCCAGCCGCCGCAGUAA
rnacentral:rRNA from 1 species